CUUCGGGUAACGAGGAUGGCGGACGGGUGAGUAACGCGUAAGGAACUUGCCUCUUGGUCUGGGACAACUGUUGGAAACGACAGCUAAUACCGGAUAUUAUGAGAUUCUCGCAUGGGAAACUUAUGAAAGCUAUAUGCGCCAAGAGAGAGCCUUGCGUUCCAUUAGCUAGUUGGUGGGGUAACGGCCCACCAAGGCGACGAUGGAUAGCCGGCCUGAGAGGGUGAACGGCCACAAGGGGACUGAGACACGGCCCUUACUCCUACGAGAGGCAGCAGUGGGGAAUAUUGGACAAUGGGCCACAAGCCUGAUCCAGCAAUUCUGUGUGCACGAUGAAGGUCUUCGGAUUGUAAAGUGCUUUCAGUUGGGAAGAAGAAAGUGACGGUACCAACAGAAGAAGCGACGGCUAAAUACGUGCCAGCAGCCGCGGUAAUACGUAUGUCGCAAGCGUUAUCCGGAUUUAUUGGGCGUAAAGCGCGUCUAGGCGGAAAAAUAAGUCUGAUGUUAAAAUGCGGGGCUCAACUCCGUAUUGCGUUGGAAACUGUUUUUCUAGAGUACUGGAGAGGUGGGCGGAACUACAAGUGUAGAGGUGAAAUUCGUAGAUAUUUGUAGGAAUGCCGAUGGAGAAGUCAGCUCACUGGACAGAUACUGACGCUGAAGCGCGAAAGCGUGGGGAGCAAACAGGAUUAGAUACCCUGGUAGUCCACGCCGUAAACGAUGAUCACU
rnacentral:rRNA from 1 species